UGAGGAAUAUUGCGCAAUGGGGGAAACCCUGACGCAGCAACGCCGCGUGUGGGAAGAAGGCCUUCGGGUCGUAAACCACUUUUACUCGGGACGAAAAAGGGAUAUCAAACAAAUAUCCCCGAUGACGGUACCGUGAGAAUAAGCCACGGCUAACUCUGUGCCAGCAGCCGCGGUAAGACAGAGGUGGCAAGCGUUGUUCGGAAUUACUGGGCGUAAAGAGUCUGUAGGUGGUUUGUCAAGUCUUUGGUGAAAGGCCGUAGCUUAACUAUGGGAAUGCCAAAGAGACUGGCAGGCUGGAGGCUGGGAGAGGGAAGCGGAAUUUCUGGUGUAGCGGUGAAAUGCGUAGAUAUCAGAAGGAAGGCCGGUGGCGAAGGCGGCUUCCUGGAACAGUCCUGACACUGAGAGACGAAAGCGUGGGGAGCAAACAGG
rnacentral:rRNA from 1 species